UACGUGAGGGGCGAACGUUGUUCGGUGUCACUGGGCUUAAAGGGCGCGUAGGUGGCUGUGCAAGUAAGGUGUGAAAGCCCUCGGCUUACCCGGGGAAUUGCGCCUUAAACUGCAUGGCUUGAGGGAUUCAGGGGAAUGGGGAACUCCAGGUGUAGCGGUGAAAUGCGCAGAUAUCUGGGGGAAGGCCGGCGGCGAAGGCGCCAUUCUGGGAAUUUCCUGACACUGAGGCGCGAAAGCGUGGGGAGCAAACAGG
rnacentral:rRNA from 1 species